rnacentral:rRNA from 1 species
GAUGAACGCUGGCGGCGUGCCUAACACAUGCAAGUCGAACGAGGUAAAUAAGAUGAAGUUUUCGGAUGGAUUUUUAUUUACCGAGUGGCGGACGGGUGAGUAACGCGUGGGUAACCUGCCUCAUACAGGGGGAUAACGGUUAGAAAUGACUGCUAAUACCGCAUAAGCGCACAGUACCGCAUGGUACGGUGUGAAAAACUCCGGUGGUAUGAGAUGGACCCGCGUCUGAUUAGCUAGUUGGUGAGGUAACGGCCCACCAAGGCGACGAUCAGUAGCCGACCUGAGACGGGUGAUCGGCCACAUUGGGACUGAGACACGGCCCAGACUCCUACGGGAGGCCAGCAGUGGGGAUAUUGGCAC